rnacentral:rRNA from 1 species
AUGUAUAGCGAAAGCUGGUUGCAUUAACUAAUAGUUAGUACAACAUCGACUAUGUCGAAUAAAAUUCUAGGUAGAGUUAUGAUAAUGACAUUUUCUAUCUAUGUGUCUUGACCAAAUCACGUGCCAGCAGUCGCGGUAAUACGUGGAAGACUAGUGUUAUUCAUCUUUAAUUGGUUUAAAGGGUACUUAGACUGUCAAUUAAGCCCCUAAGGUACUAAUUGACUAGAGUUUGAUGAGAGGGGGGAAGUACGAAAGAGUGUAGAGAUAAAAUUCUGUAAUACCUAAUUUGGAACAGACAACGGCGAAAGCAACCCCUUAUGUAAAAACUGACGUUGAAGGACGAAGGCUUGGGACACCAACAGGAUUAGAUACCCUAGCAGUCCUUGCAGACAAUGAUGAAUGUCAUAGAUUGGAUAAGAUAUCUUUUUGUCUAUAAAUGAAAGUGUAAGCAUUCCACCUCAAGAGUAA